rnacentral:tRNA from 1 species
CGAAAUAUAGUCUAACCAAGGCAUCUCGCUUACACCAAGAAGAUCCCUACUACACACGGGUAUUUCGAG